rnacentral:rRNA from 1 species
GACGAACCGUGCGAACGUUGUUCGGAUUCACUGGGCUUAAAGGGCGCGUAGGCGGGCUGGCAAGUCAGGGGUGAAAUCCUCCGGCUCAACCGGAGAACAGCCUUUGAUACUGCCAGUCUAGAGGAAGGUAGGGGCAUGUGGAACUUCCGGUGGAGCGGUGAAAUGCGUAGAUAUCAUUUGGAACGCCAAUGGUGAAAACAGGUAGCUGGGAGUGUGCUGACACUGAGACACGAAAGCCAGGGGAGCGAACGGG